GGGUUGUGAGGUUAAGCGACUAAGCGUACACGGUGGAUGCCCUGGCAGUCAGAGGCGAUGAAGGACGUGCUAAUCUGCGAUAAGCGUCGGUAAGGUGAUAUGAACCGUUAUAACCGGCGAUUUCCGAAUGGGGAAACCCAGUGUGAUCCGUCACACUAUCAUUACGUGAAUACAUAGCGUAAUGAAGCGAACCGGGGGAACUGAAACAUCUAAGUACCCCGAGGAAAAGAAAUCAACCGAGAUUCCCCCAGUAGCGGCGAGCGAACGGGGAGCAGCCCAGAGUCUGAAUCAGCUUGUGUGUUAGUGGAACGGUCUGGAAAGUCCGACGGUACAGGGUGAUAGUCCCGUACACCAAAAUGCACAGGUUGUGAACUCGAAGAGUAGGGCGGGACACGUGGUAUCCUGUCUGAAUAUGGGGGGACCAUCCUCCAAGGCUAAAUACUCCUGACUGACCGAUAGUGAACCAGUACCGUGAGGGAAAGGCGAAAAGAACCCCGGCGAGGGGAGUGAAAAAGAACCUGAAACCGUGUACGUACAAGCAGUGGGAGCCUCUUUAUGGGGUGACUGCGUACCUUUUGUAUAAUGGGUCAGCGACUUAUAUUCUGUAGCAAGGUUAACCGUAUAGGGGAGCCGAAGGGAAACCGAGUCUUAACUGGGCGUUAAGUUGCAGGGUAUAGACCCGAAACCCGGUGAUCUAGCCAUGGGCAGGUUGAAGGUUGGGUAACACUAACUGGAGGACCGAACCGACUAAUGUUGAAAAAUUAGCGGAUGACUUGUGGCUGGGGGUGAAAGGCCAAUCAAACCGGGAGAUAGCUGGUUCUCCCCGAAAGCUAUUUAGGUAGCGCCUCGUGAAUUCAUCUUCGGGGGUAGAGCACUGUUUCGGCUAGGGGGUCAUCCCGACUUACCAACCCGAUGCAAACUGCGAAUACCGAAGAAUGUUAUCACGGGAGACACACGGCGGGUGCUAACGUCCGUCGUGAAGAGGGAAACAACCCAGACCGCCAGCUAAGGUCCCAAAGUCAUGGUUAAGUGGGAAACGAUGUGGGAAGGCACAGACAGCCAGGAUGUUGGCUUAGAAGCAGCCAUCAUUUAAAGAAAGCGUAAUAGCUCACUGGUCGAGUCGGCCUGCGCGGAAGAUGUAACGGGGCUAAACCAUGCACCGAAGCUGCGGCAGCGACACUAUGUGUUGUUGGGUAGGGGAGCGUUCUGUAAGCCGUUGAAGGUGUGCUGUGAGGCAUGCUGGAGGUAUCAGAAGUGCGAAUGCUGACAUAAGUAACGAUAAUGCGGGUGAAAAACCCGCACGCCGGAAGACCAAGGGUUCCUGUCCAACGUUAAUCGGGGCAGGGUGAGUCGACCCCUAAGGCGAGGCCGAAAGGCGUAGUCGAUGGGAAACAGGUUAAUAUUCCUGUACUUGGUGUUACUGCGAAGGGGGGACGGAGAAGGCUAUGUUAGCCGGGCGACGGUUGUCCCGGUUUAAGCAUGUAGGCGGAGGUUCCAGGUAAAUCCGGUACCUUUUAACGCUGAGGUGUGAUGACGAGGCACUACGGUGCUGAAGUAACAAAUGCCCUGCUUCCAGGAAAAGCCUCUAAGCAUCAGGUAACACGAAAUCGUACCCCAAACCGACACAGGUGGUCAGGUAGAGAAUACCAAGGCGCUUGAGAGAACUCGGGUGAAGGAACUAGGCAAAAUGGUGCCGUAACUUCGGGAGAAGGCACGCUGAUAUGUAGGUGAAGUGAUUUACUCAUGGAGCUGAAAUCAGUCGAAGAUACCAGCUGGCUGCAACUGUUUAUUAAAAACACAGCACUGUGCAAACACGAAAGUGGACGUAUACGGUGUGACGCCUGCCCGGUGCCGGAAGGUUAAUUGAUGGGGUUAUCCGUAAGGAGAAGCUCUUGAUCGAAGCCCCGGUAAACGGCGGCCGUAACUAUAACGGUCCUAAGGUAGCGAAAUUCCUUGUCGGGUAAGUUCCGACCUGCACGAAUGGCGUAAUGAUGGCCAGGCUGUCUCCACCCGAGACUCAGUGAAAUUGAACUCGCUGUGAAGAUGCAGUGUACCCGCGGCAAGACGGAAAGACCCCGUGAACCUUUACUAUAGCUUGACACUGAACACUGGUCCUUGAUGUGUAGGAUAGGUGGGAGGCUUUGAAGUGUGGACGCCAGUCUGCAUGGAGCCAUCCUUGAAAUACCACCCUUUAAUGGCUGGUGUUCUAACGUGGACCCGUAAUCCGGGUUGCGGACAGUGUCUGGUGGGUAGUUUGACUGGGGCGGUCUCCUCCUAAAGAGUAACGGAGGAGCACGAAGGUUAGCUAAUCCUGGUCGGACAUCAGGAGGUUAGUGCAAAGGCAUAAGCUAGCUUGACUGCGAGAGUGACGGCUCGAGCAGGUGCGAAAGCAGGUCUUAGUGAUCCGGUGGUUCUGAAUGGAAGGGCCAUCGCUCAACGGAUAAAAGGUACUCCGGGGAUAACAGGCUGAUACCGCCCAAGAGUUCAUAUCGACGGCGGUGUUUGGCACCUCGAUGUCGGCUCAUCACAUCCUGGGGCUGAAGUAGGUCCCAAGGGUAUGGCUGUUCGCCAUUUAAAGUGGUACGCGAGCUGGGUUUAGAACGUCGUGAGACAGUUCGGUCCCUAUCUGCCGUGGGCGCUGGAGAAUUGAGGGGGGCUGCUCCUAGUACGAGAGGACCGGAGUGGACGCAUCACUGGUGUUCGGGUUGUCAUGCCAAUGGCAUUGCCCGGUAGCUAAAUGCGGAAGAGAUAAGUGCUGAAAGCAUCUAAGCACGAAACUUGCCCCGAGAUGAGUUCUCCCUGAGACUAUAAGUCUCCUGAAGGAACGUUGAAGACGACGACGUUGAUAGGUCGGGUGUGUAAGUGUAGCGAUACAUUGAGCUAACCGAUACUAAUGAACCGUGAGGCUUAACCUUACAACGCCGAAG
rnacentral:rRNA from 1 species